rnacentral:rRNA from 1 species
ACGAACGCUGGCGGCGUGCUUAACACAUGCAAGUCGAACGGUGAAGGGGUCUGCUUUUGUGGGCCCUGGAUGAGUGGCGAACGGGUGAGUAACACGUGAGUAACCUGCCCCCUUCUUCUGGAUAACCGCAUGAAAGUGUGGCUAAUACGGGAUAUUCUGGGUCUGUCGCAUGAUGGGUCUGGGAAAGAUUGCGCCUUUGGGUGUUUUUGGUGGGGGAUGGGCUCGCGGCCUAUCAGCUUGUUGGUGGGGUGAUGGCCUACCAAGGCGGUGACGGGUAGCCGGCCUGAGAGGGUGGACGGUCACACUGGGACUGAGACACGGCCCAGACUCCUACGGGAGGCAGCAGUGGGGAAUAUUGCACAAUGGGCGCAAGCCUGAUGCAGCGACGCCGCGUGAGGGAUGGAGGCCUUCGGGUUGUAAACCUCUUUCGCCAGUGAAGCAGGCCUGCUCCUUGUGGGUGGGUUGACGGUAGCUGGAUAAGAAGCGCCGGCUAACUACGCG